UCCCUAGUGGCUCAGAUGGUAAAGCAUCUGCCUACAAUGUGGGAGACCCAGGUUUGAUUCCUGGGUUGGGAA
rnacentral:tRNA from 1 species